UCCAGACUCCUACGGGAGGCAGCAGUGGGGCCUCUUGGACAAUGGGGGGCCCCCUGAUCCAGCGCCGCCGCGUGCGUGCAGAAGUAUUUCGGUAUGUAAAGCUCUCUCAGCAGGGAAGCACGAAAUGACGGUCCCUGACUAAGACGCCCCGGCUAACUACGUGCCAGCAGCCGCGGUAAUACGUAGGGAGCAAGCGUUGUCCGGAAUUACUGGGCGUAAAGGGCGCGGAGGUGGGCGCUUAAGUCAGGUGUGAAAACUCCGGGCUCAACCUGGAGACUGCACUUGAAACUGGGUGUCUUGAGGGCAGGAGAGGAAAGUGGAAUUCCUAGUGUAGCGGUGAAAUGCGUAGAUAUUAGGAGGAACACCAGUGGCGAAGGCGACUUUCUGGACUGUACCUGACGCUGAGGCGCGAAAGCGUGGGUAGCGAACGGGAUUAGAUACCCUUGUA
rnacentral:rRNA from 1 species